rnacentral:lncRNA from 1 species
CCUCUGAUGGGUCCUGCCGCGUUUGCAGAAGCAACAAUAAGGGAGGGAGAGGGGGAGCCCAAGGUAGAGGGAGUCCUGCGGCAGUGGUGUCCCUCUGUCGUCCUCCACCCAGGGCUGAGCUCAGUGCCUCCCGUGUGCCAGGCGCAGGACAGAACACCGACAGAGCUCCCGGCUGUCUUUCCCAGGGCUCGGCCGGUGGGCCUGAAGGUUUGAUCUCCAGGCUUAGCUGUGCGUCACUUCCUGCCAGGAAGUCUGGGACUCUGUGCACCAGAGUGUUUUCGGAGAAGGAUACUAGGAUUACACACCCCUCCAAAUGAUCCUCAGCUCAACUCCAUUUGGCUCUUUGAGGUGGGGAUCAGACACUGAGCUAGCAAGCAUGCUGUUUAUUUGGUGGGGGCGGUAAGGAGAGGAGGGCUCUUCCUGGAGUCUGGCAGAUGAGCCAAGCAGAGAAGCGGGGCUGGGGAUGCGGGGCCUCCUCCUUCAGUGGGCUCUCCACUGCUGGGUGCAGCCUAUGCCUGGCCCCCCCUCAGCAGGCCCGGGAGAGGUUGAGUCACUGAGGACUGUUGUCUCGCCAGUGGCCCAACUAGGUAGAGUGUGUCCCCAGAGCAGUGGUCCUCAGGCUGAAGCAUCGCCUAGAG